rnacentral:rRNA from 1 species
GAUGAACGCUGGCGGCGUGCCUAAUACAUGCAAGUCGAGCGAACAGACGAGGAGCUUGCUCCUCUGACGUUAGCGGCGGACGGGUGAGUAACACGUGGAUAACCUACCUAUAAGACUGGGAUAACUUCGGGAAACCGGAGCUAAUACCGGAUAAUAUAUUGAACCGCAUGGUUCAAUAGUGAAAGACGGUUUUGCUGUCACUUAUAGAUGGAUCCGCGUCGCAUUAGCUAGUUGGUAAGGUAACGGCUUACCAAGGCAACGAUGCGUGGCCGACCUGAGAGGGUGAUCGGCCACACUGGAACUGAGACACGGUCCAGACUCCUACGGGAGGCAGCAGUAGGGAAUCUUCCGCAAUGGGCGAAAGCCUGACGGAGCAACGCCGCGUGAGUGAUGAAGGUCUUCGGAUCGUAAAACUCUGUUAUUAGGGAAGAACAAAUGUGUAAGUAACUAUGCACGUCUUGACGGUACCUAAUCAGAAAGCCACGGCUAACUACGUG